rnacentral:rRNA from 1 species
AGCGAACGCUGGCGGCAGGCCUAACACAUGCAAGUCGAACGAAGUCUUCGGACUUAGUGGCGGACGGGUGAGUAACACGUGGGAACGUGCCUUUAGGUUCGGAAUAACUCAGGGAAACUUGUGCUAAUACCGAAUGUGCCCUUCGGGGGAAAGAUUUAUCGCCUUUAGAGCGGCCCGCGUCUGAUUAGCUAGUUGGUGAGGUAAAGGCUCACCAAGGCGACGAUCAGUAGCUGGUCUGAGAGGAUGAUCAGCCACAUUGGGACUGAGACACGGCCCAAACUCCUACGGGAGGCAGCAGUGGGGAAUCUUGCGCAAUGGGCGAAAGCCUGACGCAGCCAUGCCGCGUGAAUGACGAAGGUCUUAGGAUUGUAAAAUUCUUUCACCGGGGACGAUAAUGAUGGUACCCGGAGAAGAAGCCCCGGCUAACUUCGUGCCAGCCGCCGCGGUAAUAC